rnacentral:rRNA from 1 species
GUAGGUGGCAAGCGUUGUCCGGAAUUAUUGGGCGUAAAGCGCGCGCAGGUGGUUCUUUAAGUCUGAUGUGAAAGCCCCCGGCUCAACCGGGGAGGGUCAUUGGAAACUGGGGAACUUGAGUGCAGGAGAGGAAAGUGGAAUUCCACGUGUAGCGGUGAAAUGCGUAGAUAUGUGGAGGAACACCAGUGGCGAAGACGACUUUCUGGCCUGUAACUGACACUGAGGCGCGAAAGCGUGGGGAGCAAACAGGGAUUAGAUACCCUGGUAGUCCACGCCGUAAACGAUGAGUGCUAAGUGUUGGGGGGGUUUCCCGCCCCUCAGUGCUGCAGCUAACGCAUUAAGCACUCCGCCUGGGGAGUACGGUCGCAAGACUG